rnacentral:lncRNA from 1 species
AUGCCAUGGAACACCUGCAAACCAGGCAAGAAGGAAACAAAGAAUUCCAAAAGUCAGAAUUUUCUUCAUUCGCCUUUUUGCUGUGAAGUCUAUACGGAGUUUCGCUCUUGUUACCCAGGCUGGAGUGCAAUGGCAAUGGCGCGAUCUCGGCUCACCGCAACCUCUGCCUCCUGGGUUCAGGCAAUUCUCCUGCCUCAGCCUCCUGAGUAGCUGGGAUUACAGGCACACACCACCAUGCCCAGCUAAUUUUUUUGUGUUUUUAGUAGAGACGGGGUUUCACCAUGUUGACCAGGAUGGUCUCGAUCUCUUGACCUUGUGAUCCGCCCGCCUUGGCCUCCCAAAGUGCUGGGAUUACAGGCGUGAGCCACCGCGUCGGGCCCCUAAAUUUUUAUCAGUAGUGGGACAGUUAAAUUAUGGUACUAAACUCAAUGGAAUCCAAGGCAACCAUUAAAAUGAAAAAAUAUAUAUGAAUGAACAUGGAAAGAUAACUAUGAUAUAUAUAUGUGUAUAUAUAUAAUUUUUUAAAAAGCAACUUGCAAAAAAAUUUGCAAAGUAUGAUUCUAGUUUAUGUUUAAAUGGCAUAUGUUUUACAUAUAUGAAAGUAUAAACACACAUAUACAGGCACACACAUAUGUAUACCUUCUCUCAAGCAUGAUGGUUUACUUUCUGUUCCUCUUAUCUGCCAACACUAUUUGUAAGGGUCUUUGUGGUUGUUGCCUAAAGCAAAAGAUUUUUACUUCCCUUUUAUUGGUUAACUUCUGAUUUUCCGCCAGAUCUCAGCUCAUUGUUGAAAACAAUAGUACAGAAAUACCUUGCCUGAUACACCUAAUUAGCACCCAGUUCUCUUAUUACCAUUCCCUGUAUCAUGAGUAGCUCUCCUUUGUCACACUCAUCCCAAUCACAACUUUACAAUCACUCCCAUGACUCCUGGAGUGUAGUCAUCACUCUGCCUAGGGGAAUCUCUGGGAGGCUGCAGUGUGUGCUCAUGUUUCACCCUUUUAUCUUGAGAGCCUAGCUCAUGUCAAGCACUCUGUAGAAGCAAAAACUAUUAUUUGAAUAAAGCAUGAAGUAAUGAAUUCUCAUUCUCCAUUCCACAUAUGAGUAUAGCUAGUCUCUGGCUAUAAAACUUACUCUGAUCAUUCAGCUAAUAAAUACCAAGCCAGAAUUUAGACCAAACCCGAUCUCAUUCUAAAGCUUGUGAUCUGAACCAAAAAUAAAUGACCAAGUUAAAGUUUCCAAAUGAGAUUUUACUGAAGUAUAAAUGCUAACAAUCAGGAAACAACAUUUAAGAAAGAACUUUCUCUUUCUUUCUCAUAGACACCACUGGGAGGAGUAUCACUAUGAUGAGUAUUUGGAGAGGAAUGAGAGGGAGAGUGAGAAUCUUCUAAUAGAUGGUUAAAUAACAACCUGUCUUAGUUAAUUCAGGCUGCUGUGACAGAGUACCAUAGACUGUGUGGUUUAAACAACAGAACCCUAUUUCUCACAGUUCUAGAGACUGAGGAAUCUGGUGUUUGGUGAGGUUACAUUUCCUCAUUUGCAGAUAGCUGUCUCCUCCUUGUAUCCUCACAUGGAAGAGAGCUGAGAGUGAGAGCAAGCUCUUGGGUCUCUUCUUAUAAGGGCACUAAUCCUAUUCACGAGGGCUCCAUCUUUAUUACCUAAUUAUCUCCCAAGGCCCCACCUUUUAAUAUCCUCACACUGGGAAUGAGAAUAUCGACAAGUAAAUUUGAGGCAGACAUAAACAUUCAGCCUGUAAUACAAUUUUUGGGAUUUAUUUCAUUGAUAACCUACAUAAGUUUAUAGUGGUUCAAUUAUGAUCUUGUAAUUUGCUAAACCCCAUAGUUCUGAUAAAAUUCUUUCUACUAUUAUUGCCGUGCUAAUGCUUUGUCUGGGGGAAAGACAGCAUUCUCACCUACCUCUUGAAUUAAAGCAUGUUCAUUUCCACUAAUAAGCAGUAAUGACCUCAACUUUAAAAAACUCAGACCUCAAUCAAAAUUGAAAAAUCACUCGGCUUGAAAUUGAAACAAAAUUAGAUUAUAAAGGUGCUAACAUUUAGGUCUUCUUUAGCAUAUUUAAAAUUAAAAUCUUAAAGCUGAUCUAUAAACACGUAAUGUGUCAGGGUAGGUAAUAGUAUGGAGAGGUAAAAACAAACAAUGAAAACCGAAGCAAGCAUUCUACUGUAUUCUGAGGUUGACUGAAAUACCACAUUUCAUUAAAAAAAAAAAAAGACUAUAGCAGUGCUAUCAAGAUUUUCACAAAUACACUUGUCCCCUAACCCCCCCAAAAAAACUGGCUAAGAGAAUAUCUCAUUAAAGUCUGAAUGUAAAACGGUUUGAGAAGAUGUUUUUAAAAUGCUAUCUUUUAAAUUAUUU